CAGGAUUAACCCACAACAAGGGAUCCCUCUACCCCACACUUAUGGCAGAGAGGUGAUGGCGGCUCUUUUUCUGCUGAGCAUUGACUAAGAUGAAGUGCAGAGGCUUAGUGAGCAGCUGAAAUCAGAACCAUGUGCCUCAGCGAGUAGGAUGGAGACUCAGAUCUGCAGCUUUUCCAGGCUGCUUCUGUCACUCUGCAUUCUGUCCGACAUCACACCUGCACACCAGACCUCGGUAUGCCUGGAAGCUUGUCUCCUAGGUGAUCCCAGAGCUCAUCGAGUUGACUGUGAACACUAAUCAUCACACCAAACCACCAAGACACCUGUUUCUACCUGCGGACAGAUAAAGCGCCUGCAGACUCAGACCAGCCACUGAAACAGCCAUGAAAACCUUCACGCUUUUGUAAAGCAGGACAAAGCUUUGAAGCUGCAGCGUGAACUCGCCCAGCAUCUCCCAGCUGUGAUGAGGACAGCAUUUCCCUAGUCAAAACAGCCUGGCUCCAUUGACAGUGUUCACUUCUCUGGAUAAUAAACAGAACUUGUAGGCUGUGUCCAUAUCAUUUUCCUUCAGCUAUCCCACUACUUAACACGAUGUCAACGAUUAAAACAAAGUCCAGAGUCACAAUGUGGAACCGUGGCUCUAGUUAAUUAUCUCAGAAAAGACACUGACCACCAUGUACUUGAAUAGUCAAGGCCCUGAAAGAAGGUCUGAUGGCCUUUGUUUGUCCCGUGUAUGUAGCAUCUCUCUGGCUACUUCCCCCGGGGUUGGUGUUUCCUUUCUUUCUCUUUCUCUUUCUCUUUCUCUUUCUUUCUUUCUUUCUUUCUUUCUUUCUUUCUUUCUUUCUUUCUUUCUCUCUCUCUUUCUUUCUUUCUUUCUUUUUUUUGGUGUGAGUGUGGGGGAAUAUUCCUUUAAAUGAUUCUAGAAAUAUCCUGUCUCCCUGGUUGGAGGGAGGCUGUGUUUAUCUGCUAGGUAAUGUUCUUAGCAGAAGCACGUUAAAUAAGGAUGGCAGACAAUACAGCCUCCAUGGAGACUGCUACAAUUCCCUUCUAUUCUUUUUCAAAUGUUAAGUUUGUAUUGGGUUAUUUAAUAGACUGCAAUAUAUUCAGUAGGUACAGAAUCCAUGCCCCCAAAUGGCUGGAUUUUAAUUCUAUCCCUCCAGUCUGUUUUAACUAAGACAUUUUCUCCUGUGCAUAUAAUCUUCAUUAUCAUGGAAGUUAUUUUUAAUUUAUAAUUAACAUAGUCUCUUUCUCAUCAUGUAUGCCUUGAUUGACUUGGACCCUCCGGACACGUCUUGUCUGGCACCAUGCUGGCUGGGUCCUGCAGUUCUCCGAUCGUGCAGCAGGUGUCUAUCUUAGCCUUCCCUUCCUUCCUCCUCUCCAGUCCCUGACGCCAGGAUAUAGUGCAUAAUUCCAAAAUGGCAGCUUUUUGAAAAUUCACCUUGAUUAUCAGACAUUAAAAGUGACUCAUCUUGCAGUGACUGUCUGGCGGAAGGGAUGGGAUCAGACAGCAAGACAAUGAAGGGACUGGGCGCAUUAGCGCACCAGAUUACAGAGCCAUCAAAAAUACCUUUGUUCUGUCAAAGAUCCAAUCAUUUCCUAGUUGUGUUCUGUGGAGGAGAAAGAACGAGAAGGAAAAAUCCACCAAACAAACAAACAAGAAAAUUCAUCUAUGAAUUAAAAACCUCCUCAGAUCUCUUUAUCCUAAGAGGGGAGGGAGGGAGCAGAUCAUCCAUCCCAAGAGGAGGCGAGGUGGAGCCGCGUCUGAGCUGGGGAUCUGUAGCAGCCUUUCUCCCAGUGGCCAUCACAUUUUCCUCACUACCUUCUGUUCUUUGAAUCUCUGUAAGAGCAAAAACUGCCAGGUUAAUAGGACUUGGUCGUGUCUGUGUGUCAGUACUCAGCCAGAUUCGUGGUGGCAUAUUUAGAAGAAAUGGCCGCACAAUUAAAACAUUGGCAUUAAAAGCACAGCUUCUGAUUUCCAUCAUGUUACGUUAGAAAGCUAACCAAGACACGUGUGAUGAGCUAGAGGGGAACACGUGUGUGGGAGCCGUUGGCAGCAUCCACACAGGCUACUGUAGAACAGCAGGAUUCGUCUUCGGCAGAGCCCACAGAUCCUGCACCAAGCGUGAAUGUGCAUGUGUACAGGGGGAAGGAGGGAACCCUGAGGGUGAGGGUGCCCUCCCCUCGGAGCCCAGGUGGAUGCGGGUAGGGUGAGAUACCCUGAACCUCAGAGCAUUUCAUCCCCCAAGGAGGCAGAAAGUCCAGAUGGGCUGUGGUGCCUGGCUUUCUUUUCUUCUGAAAACACAAUUUCCACCAUUUGUCUAUGAACUCAGAGGAGGAGUUUAUCAGUCAUGGAAAAUGCCCCAAAGGGGCUCCGAUCAAAGGCAGACUUUGAAAUGUGUACUUAGGUGGAUCUCCCUGCCAAAUACAUUAAUGUGAUUAAAACACAAAUUCCAUCAACAAUUAUUUUCCAUCUGUUUAGUAAUAAUAAUGGCGAUGCUGUGUGCCAUCAAUGGUGGCCUUCUUUUACCGAGGAGUACGAAGUGAAUUUAAAUGCUCUGCUGCACAUGGAUGCUGUGGCACUCUGGGAGGAUUUGGAGGUUUUAUUUGCUGGCAGGACAGGAGCUCAGCUGCUGUCCCCACACAGGGAUCUCAGAUAAGAAUGACCACGUUUU